AGCACGGUGGCGCAGUGGAAGCAGCGCCGGGCUCAUAACCCGGAGGUCCCUGGAUCAAAACCAGGCCGUGCUA